rnacentral:piRNA from 1 species
UGUGCCUUUACUUUUUUGGAAACUCACAGA